UCAGCCUACUCCGACUCGACGUUGGUUGGCCAAGUGCCAGGGUCGGUUCUGCAAUUCCGGUGAGUGUGCAGGAUGUGACCCGAAAGAUGGUGAACAAUGCCUAAUCAGGGUAAAGUCAGGGAAAACCCGGAUGGAGGACCGAAGCAGUUGUGACGAGCAAAUCGAUUGACAGAAUUGGGCAUAGGGGCGAAAAGCCAAUCAAACUAUCUAGUAGUUGGUUCCCUCCGAAGUUUCCCUCGGGAUAGCUGGAGUACGCAACGUUACGGAACCUAUUCUUAUCUGUUAAAGCGAAUGGUUAGAGGACUUAGGUUCGAAAUGAUCAUAACCUAUUAUCAAACUUUAAAUAGGUAAGAUUCGUGCAUGAUGCUGUUGCAACGUUGACACCGGGCUGCCCCUUGUCAGGGCGCGCCACGACAAGCGGCGUAGUAGAUAUCUGUGUGCUUAGGCGGCUCAGUUUUGGUAAGAAGAACUGGUGCUGUGGGAUGGACCAAACGUAAUGUUACGGCGCCUAAAUUAAAGACACUUCAUAGAUGCCAUGAAAGGUGUUGAUUGCUACAGACAUGAGGACGGUGGACAUGGAAGUUGUCAUCGGAUAAGGAGUGUGUAACAACUCAUCUCCCGAAGUAGUUAGCCCUUAAAAUGGAUGGCGCUUAAGCCGUUUGCCUAUACAUUACCGCUAGCGUACAAGCGGGGCAGCUUGCACACACGUCUGCCCUUUGAGACGCCUGCAAAUAUGAGAGUCUGUUGGUGUGUCCCUAUCUACUAUCUAGCACAG
rnacentral:ncRNA from 1 species